rnacentral:piRNA from 1 species
UCACGAUUAGGACUCGAUGCCACCAGA